GUGGGUUGGCUCAGUGGUUAGAGCGUAGUCUCGUAACCGAAAGGUUGCGGGAUCGAAUCCCGCUAGAGGCUGACA
rnacentral:tRNA from 1 species